rnacentral:rRNA from 1 species
UGGGGAAUUUUGGACAAUGGGCGAAAGCCUGAUCCAGCAAUGCCGCGUGUGUGAAGAAGGCCUUCGGGUUGUAAAGCACUUUUUGUCCGGAAAGAAAUCCUUGGCUCUAAUACAGUCGGGGGAUGACGGUACCGGAAGAAUAAGCACCGGCUAACUACGUGCCAGCAGCCGCGGUAAUACGUAGGGUGCAAGCGUUAAUCGGAAUUACUGGGCGUAAAGCGUGCGCAGGCGGUUUGCUAAGACCGAUGUGAAAUCCCCGGGCUCAACCUGGGAACUGCAUUGGUGACUGGGCAGGCUAGAGUAUGGCAGAGGGGGGUAGAAUUCCACGUGUAGCAGUGAAAUGCGUAGAGAUGUGGAGGAAUACGAUGGCGAAGGCAGCCCCCUGGGCCAAUACUGACGCUCAUGCACGAAAGCGUGGGGAGCAAACAGGAUUCAGAUGACCCUGGUAGUCCACGCCCUAAACGAUGUCAACUAGUGUUGGGGACUCAUUUCCUUAGUAACGUAGCUAACGCGUGAAGUUGACCGCCU